rnacentral:rRNA from 1 species
UUCCUCCGUCGCUUCGUCUUGCUCCUCGCCACAACAACCCUUUGUCGCGUCGUUUCGUCGUCGCUUCGUCUUGUUCCCCGCCGCAUCGCUCCCAUGGCGCUGUCGAGCUCAUGGGAUGGCUCCAACGUCCACGAGGACCACGUCGAGUUCCUCCGCCGGACGCGGCGCCUGCCCGGCGAGAACCUAGUGCGGGUUCGUCAAGCGCCGGCGAGGGAGAUUUCACCGGCACCAGAGGAGGGCGAGCGGGUGAUCUUUCGCUCGCACUGCCUGUGCGGCUUCGGCCUCCCGGCGAGUGGAUUCCUUCGAGCCUUCCUCGAAUUCUACCACCUCCAGCCGCAUCACCUCACGCCCAACGCGGUGAUGCUGUUGUCGGCCUUCGUCACCUUUUGCGAGGGUUUUCUCGGAGUUCUCCCCAUGCUCGAGCUCUGGGGGGAGUUCUUCCAAAGCAAGCUCAGCACCGUCGUCGCAGGCGUGCCCGCCCCCUGCGGAGCCUUUAUUGCCAUGAGGCGGGCGAGCGAGAACAAUCCGUUCCCUUCCAUUCCGCUGAUCCAGUCGGUGAAGCUUUGGCAGAAGUCUUAUUUCUACAUGAAGAACGUCGCCCAGCAAGGCGAGUACGUCAACCUGCCGGCUUACGUAGCCGGCCCGCCGGCUGGGAGGCAACCUUCAUGGAGCUAUCGGGCCAGGUCGCUGUCUCAGGCCGGGAACGCAGCCGUCUCCCGGCUUCGGGUGAUGAUCCAGUCGGAGGGCCUGACCGGAGCCGACUUGGUGGCCGCCUUCGUGGAGCGC